GCAAGUCGAGGGGUAACAGGGAGCUUGCUCCGCUGACGACCGGCGCACGGGUGCGUAACGCGUAUAGAAUCUGCCAUGUACAUGAGGAUAGCCUUUAGAAAUGAAGAUUAAUACUCCAUAAUGUUAAAACUUGGCAUCAAGAUUUAAUUAAAGAUUUAUCGGUACAUGAUGACUAUGCGUCCUAUUAGCUAGAUGGUAAGGUAACGGCUUACCAUGGCAACGAUAGGUAGGGGCCCUGAGAGGGGGAUC
rnacentral:rRNA from 1 species